AUGGACGCGGUGGUGCCGGAGAUGCCGGACCUGAACGUGGAGAAGCCGGCCGUGGACGCGGGGCACAGCUAUGGCGGCACGACGGCAGGGUGUCGGGGACGGCCACGAGCGCUGCUGGCAAAACUCGAGGCGUGGCUGCUGGGUGCGUUGGCGGCUGGUGGACGAGCUCCACGUGUGCGCCGAACUCCCGCGGCUGGUGGCCCUGCUCCCCGGUGUCUGCGUGCUCGUGCUGGAGCCAUUCUCCGGGAUGAGGCCAGGGUAACAGUGGCGCCAGAGAUGCCGACAAGUGACACCAGUUGUGAGAUUCCGGCCGUGGACGCGGAGCCGCCGGAUGCGGUCGCGACGACGCCGGAGCCCGGCCGUGGACGCGGAGGCGCCGGAUGCGGAAGCGAUGAUGUCAGAGACGCCGGCUGUGGACACGACUACGCCGGAGGCGGACGCAGAGAUGCCGGACACGCCGGCCUCCCAUCUCCUCAAGUUUCCGCCGCCGCGUGCAUUCGUUGGUGCUGGAGGAAGGGGAUAAAGACAAGCGCUGCCGCGGGGCUAGUUUCGUUCAGAAGUGCCUAA
rnacentral:rRNA from 1 species